UACGUAGGGUGCGAGCGUUGUCCGGAAUUAUUGGGCGUAAAGAGCUCGUAGGCGGUUUGUCGCGUCUGCUGUGAAAACCCGAGGCUCAACCUCGGGCCUGCAGUGGGUACGGGCAGACUAGAGGUAGGUAGGGGAGAAUGGAAUUCCCGGUGUAGCGGUGAAAUGCGCAGAUAUCGGGAGGAACACCGGUGGCGAAGGCGGUUCUCUGGGCCUUACCUGACGCUGAGGCGCGAAAGCUAGGGGAGCAAACGGG
rnacentral:rRNA from 1 species